CAUGGAGGGUGAGAAUCCCGUUCGGUUGACCCUUAUGACGCUUUACGAUACGUUUUCAAAGAGUCGAGUUGUUUGGGAUUGCAGCUCAAAAUGGGAGGUAAAUUUCUCCUAAGGCUAAAUAUUGGCGAGAGACCGAUAGCGAACAAGUACCGUGAGGGAAAGAUGAAAAGAACUUUGAAAAGAGAGUAAAAUAGUACGUGAAAUUGUUGAAAGGGAAACGAUUGAAGUCAGUCGUAUCAACGAGAAAUCAACUCUUCGAGUGCGAACUUGUGGGCGUGCGUGAGCUUCGGUCUCGCUGUUUGCAACGUUUGUGCUUUUUGGGUGUACUUUUUCGUAUGAUAGGCCAACAUCAGUUUCGAACACCAUAAAAUAACCGGCGGAAUGUAGCUUCGAUCUCGUAUUGAAGUGUUAUAGCCUCUGGUAGAUGUGAUGAUCGGGACUGAGGAUUGCAACGAAUACCCUUUGGGCUAUCCGUCUGACCUCUGAAGGUUACUUAGGUGCCGAAAGCUUGCU
rnacentral:rRNA from 1 species